AGUGUUUAAAUCACAUCUGUCCGGAGGUUUCUCCUCGUCAGAGCCAGUAACGAAUUGCUGUGUGUAGUCUUUGCCCAUCCCCUGUGAUGGGCUUUUUUUUUG
rfam:Lonsdalea quercina strain ATCC 29281 genome assembly, contig: Ga0052894_scaffold00002.2